CCUACGGGGGGCAGCAGUGGGGAAUAUUGGACAAUGGGCGAAAGCCUGAUCCAGCCAUGCCGCGUGUGUGAAGAAGGCCUUCGGGUUGUAAAGCACUUUCAGUGGGGAAGAAAGCCUUGGGGCUAAUACCCUCGAGGAAGGACAUCACCCACAGAAGAAGCACCGGCUAACUCCGUGCCAGCAGCCGCGGUAAUACGGAGGGUGCGAGCGUUAAUCGGAAUUACUGGGCGUAAAGCGCGCGUAGGCGGUCUGAUAAGCCGGUUGUGAAAGCCCCGGGCUCAACCUGGGAACGGCAUCCGGAACUGUCAGGCUAGAGUGCAGGAGAGGAUGGUAGAAUUCCCGGUGUAGCGGUGAAAUGCGUAGAGAUCGGGAGGAAUACCAGUGGCGAAGGCGGCCUUCUGGACUGACACUGACGCUGAGGUGCGAAAGCGUGGGUAGCAAACAGGAUUAGAUACCCCAGUAGUC
rnacentral:rRNA from 1 species